rnacentral:rRNA from 1 species
UGGGCUCGAAAUGUAGGGGAAGUCAGCAGAGAUGUUGAUGUCUGGCAACAGACUCCUAUAU